GGUGGGUGCGAUCGGAGGGUGCAGAGCCGCGCUGACACGCUCGUGUGUGCGCGUGCUGUGCAUCCAUGCACACGCAGCAGAGAUCACCUCGGACGUCGAGGUCAGCUGGAUACCACGGACACAGGCAGGGGAGAGCUGAGCAAGCUGAAAGGUUGGGGGCAGGCGACCCAGCGUCCACGAGGCCAACGCAGAAGAGCCCAGCAGCGGGACCUGGGACAGGACCCGAGGUUCAGGGCUCUUUGGCCAGCCCGACUCGGCCUCCUGUCAGGAGGGUGUGGAGAGCUAUGCCCCAGGGUGCAGGACAGAUCGAAGGAGAGCCUGCCACGGUCCUCAGGGCCCUUGCACAAACGUCCCCUCUUCUGAGGACCCGCCCCUUCCUGGAGCUCCACCUCAGAUGUGAGCACCGGUCCGGAUGGCAUCGAGGGCUUUCCUGAAGCUUGGCUGAGGCCUUUGAGACUGCAG
rnacentral:lncRNA from 1 species